rnacentral:tRNA from 1 species
GGGGCUGUGGCUCAGCGGUAGAGCGCUCGCCUAGCAUGUGUGAGGCCCUGGGUUCAAUUCUCAGCACCA